GUAGAGACGGGGUUUCACCAUGUUGGUCAGGCUAGUCUUGAACUCCCGGCCUCAGGUGAUCCGCCCGCCUCGGCCUCCCAAAGCGCUGGGAUAACAGGCAUGAGCCACUGCACUUGGCGGAGAUUAAUUUUUUUUUAAUGUUCUUUUACUUUAAGUUCCAGGAUACGUGUGCAAAACGUGCAGGUUUGUUACACAGGUAAACGUGUGCCAUGGUGGUUUGAUGCUCCUAUCACAAACAUGUAUAAAAUGUUUAUGUAAACGUAGCUAAGGGGCAUUAAAAUAUGGGAAGAGUAGACUGAUAUUUGAUACUUACAUUUGCUUAACAAUGUGAACUAAGGAUGGGGUAUUAUGCUUUUCUUCAUUAUGUUUGUUUUCAAAUAUUCUAACACAAACACAUCACACUUUAAUAAACUUAUUAAAUUUGCUUUAUUUUUCCACAUUCAAGUCUAUUAUUAUAAACUUUAUUUCCCCCAGACUCAGCUUGACUCUUGGCUUCCGGGUUUGAGUGCAGCUCCUGAAGAGGCAAGAGUUUGGCCUGGACGUCCUGGCAGGUGGCCCUGCCCUGCCUUGGCAGAGAACUUUGGUCGAGGUUCCCCGUGGGCCUCCUGCUCUUCCUCUGUGGACCCUGGACCCUGUUCCUCUGCCUUUCCUCCUCCCACUUCAGAAGACCCCGUCCACCAGACCGCCUCCCCCUGAGGCCCAACAUGCAGCAGAGGCAGCUCCUCCGUCCCUGCAGCCUCCUUUUAACUGUGGGAUAUGGCAGCCACCCGUGGAGCGGUCCGGGUGACAAAGCCAGCGAGAGCUAGGGAGCGCCCAGGUGAAAUCCCACAGGCAGGUGUGAGCACCAAUUGUCAUUACCUUUGCCCUGGGCCCCUCAGAGACCUGUCCUCCCCCCCCGCCCCCAACAGCCUCCUGGGCGCGGCCACAGACACAGACACAGUGUCUGGACGAGCAGACUCGUCCAGGCACUGCUCAGAGGCAGCCCCUCUGGGUCAGCUGGAGUCGGUGCCUCUGAGAACCUGCCCCUGUACUCUCUCUGGGCUGGUCUCAGGCACCCUGCUGGCUCCAGCCUCUCUUGGCUGACAGUGCUUGGCAGGCGACCCCCAGCCUGAAGCCCCUGCAGGGGAGACCCUCUCCCAGCUGGGCCUCUGCCCUUGAGGACCACCUGAAGCCAUCCUUGCCUGCCACACCAGGGUGGCAUUGGGGUGGGGACCCAAACCCCUCCCGUCCUCAUUGCAGGGACAACUCUGUCUCCUUGCUGCCUCCCCAACACCUCCAGGCCUUAACCAUCUUGACUUGGGGAGCAGUCCUGCUGUCCACGCUCCCUCCAACAAGCCAGAGAAAACUCCCGGGCACAGGUGUGCGUGUGGCACGGUGAGUUUUUCUGUAAUCCACUCACCUUUAUGGAUUUACCGCACCAGGGGAAAUAUUACAACAGGCAUUUGUUACUUUACAAAUUCCUAGGCUUCCUCUCCCUUCCUUGCAAGGGCAUUUUUAGAAAGCAUUUCGCCAACAUUCACUAUUUACCACCAUAAAUGUGACUCUGGCCAGCUCUGUCCCUGGGUAAGGCCAGAAUUGACCAUUUUCUUAAAAGUUCCAGCGCCCUGAGGCUUCUGGCAGGCAUCUCUGCAGCUGAGGAAGGCUUCUGUCCCGUGCACCCUUCCCCAGGCGGGGGACCCCCAGUUCUGCUGCUCUGGGGCCUCAAAGAACCAAGUCCUCCAAGCUGCUCCACUGCCUCCUCACCAGCCACGGUGCUCCCUGAGCCACAAACCUCCGGCCUCACCCCUGCCCCUCAGGCCCACGUCUUGCAAUGGACUCUGCCAGUCCACACAUGCCUGGGUGGGGAGGGGUGUGCACUUCUGCAGCUGGGGUGAAGACAGGGACAGGGUAAUGUGAGACUCAGAUAUGAGACGCCAGGUGCAAAACUGCAGGUGGAGAGCUCCCUGUAGAGUGCAGGGGUUCAGGGUAGAGGCUCUGGGGUCUGGAAAGAGCUGGGCGUAGCUGUCACCAACCUUUCUCUGCCUCAGUUUUUUUUUUGUUUGUUUCUUUUUUUUUUUUUUUUUUUUUUUUUGAGACGGAGUCUUGCUCUGUCACCCAGGCUGGAGUGCAGUGGCGUGAUCUCAGCUCACUGCAAGCUCUGCCUCCCAGGUUCACACCAUUCUCCUGCCUUAGCCUCCCGAGCAGCUGGGACUACAGGCGCCCGCCACCACGCCCGGGUAAUUUUUUGUAUUUUUAGUAGAGAUGGGCUUUCACCGUGUUAGC
rnacentral:lncRNA from 10 species